GGUCCACCCUGCCAAUUCAGCGGCCGUUGGAGGAAAUGCUUUCAAAAUAGAAUGCGUGGAGCCUGGCAGGCCAGCACAGGAAGACAUGCCAAAGCUUGCAAGCUCCCUAUCAGAGACAGGGUGGAUCCCGCAUGCUAAAUCAUAGCUUUUCAAAAGUGGACCCGGGUGCCAAUGGUGAACUCCAGGAAUGCAAAUGGAUUGUUGAAGUUAAGCACUUAAAGUUUCACAGUCCUUCUACUUGCUUCUGUCACUGAGCAGGACCAAUAUUCCUAAAGACAUGAGGCUGGUGAUGUAUUUCUAGAAGAAGCAUCAUAAGCAAGUCAUUGUUUUUGCCUGCUUGACCUUGACCAUCCUGAUGCCAGCAAUUACCCUGUUUACUGCUAUCUAAAAAGAAAAAUGCUGUGUGGAAGGUCUUGUCUACUGUUAUUUGAACAUUUGGAGAAGUCAUGGAAGAAAAAUAAAAGUUGAUUAAUGUGAUCAGGAGAGAGCAAAUGGAGAGAACUUCAAUAGCAAAUUUUUUCCUUAACAUACAGGUAGUUUUGACCUAAGUCUGUUUGUUAGGCUAUGUUGAAUUAGUGGGUGGGCAAACAACAACAAAAGAUGAUCUCUCAUGCUUCCAGACAAACCCACACUGCAUCUCCACCUCCUCAGCUCACAAGGAAGUUGUUGACUGACAGACUCAGUGUACGAAGCUGCCCAGCCCUGCCAAAUGCUGGAUUUGGAGCUAGCAGGAGGUGCUUUUGGGUGUUCUGUUGGGAUCUCCCUAAUCAUUUUUUCAUAGCCUCUCUGAAUUUGCUCUUGCCAUCUGCCCAGGUCUAUGGUAAAAUGCACACUUGGAAAGGUUGCAGUCAACUCUACUUCUAAGAUCAGCGAGCAUGUGAUACGCUUCCCCAUCCUCCUCUGCCCCCUUCCUGCUCUCAUUGCCUCCCUGGAAGGCAGUGAGAAUGUCUACUUCACUGGAAGAAAUCUUAAAGCCCAGAGAGUAUUUGCUGCAUCUUCUGAUCAUUCAAUAACUGUUAAAGAAGAACUGGAGUUUCCUCUGUCCUCCUCACAACUCCUAAAUGUGGAAUCACUUCUCCUUAUCGGUGAUCAACUUUCA